AUUGAACGCUGGCGGCAUGCCUUACACAUGCAAGUCGAACGGUAGCGGGCCUUCGGGUGCCGACGAGUGGCGAACGGGUGAGUAAUGCAUCGGAACGUACCUUUCAGUGGGGGAUAACGUAGCGAAAGUUACGCUAAUACCGCAUAUUCUGUGAGCAGGAAAGCAGGGGAUCGCAAGACCUUGCGCUGAUUGAGCGGCCGAUGUCAGAUUAGCUAGUUGGUGAGGUAAAGGCUCACCAAGGCGACGAUCUGUAGCGGGUCGGAGAGGAUGAUCCGCCACACAGGAACCUAGACACGGUCCAGACUCCUACGGGAGGCAGCAGUGGGGAAUUUUGGACAACGGGGGCAACCCUGAUCCAGCCAUGCCGCGUGAGUGAAGAAGGCCUUCGGGUUGUAAAGCUCUUUCGGCCGGGAAGAAAUCGUAUGGGCUAAUACCCUGUGCGGAUGACGGUACCGGCAUAAGAAGCACCGGCUAACUACGUGCCAGCAGCCGCCGUAAAAC
rnacentral:rRNA from 1 species